rnacentral:rRNA from 1 species
ACUCCUACGGGAGGCAGCAGUGAGGAAUAUUGGACAAUGGGCGAGAGCCUGAUCCAGCCAUGCCGCGUGCAGGAAGACUGCCUUAUGGGUCGUAAACUGCUUUUACAGAGGAAGAACCACUCCCACGUGUGGGAGUUUGACGGUACUCUGCGAAUAAGGAUCGGCUAACUCCGUGCCAGCAGCCGCGGUAAUACGGAGGAUCCAAGCGUUAUCCGGAAUCAUUGGGUUUAAAGGGUCCGUAGGCGGGCAGUUAAGUCAGUGGUGAAAGUCUUCCGCUCAACGGGAGAACUGCCAUUGAUACUGAUUGUCUUGAGUUAUUAUGAAGUGGUUAGAAUGAGUAGUGUAGCGGUGAAAUGCAUAGAUAUUACUCAGAAUACCGAUUGCGAAGGCAGAUCACUAAUAAUAUACUGACGCUGAUGGACGAAAGCGUAGGUAGCGAACAGGAUUAGAUACCCUGGUAGUCUACGCCGUAAACGAUGGUUACUAGCUGUUCGGCCCGAUUAAGGGCUGAGUGGUUAAGCGAAAGUGAUAAGUAACCCACCUGGGGAGUACGUUCGCAAGAAUGAAACUGAAAGGAAUUGACGG